GACGUAGGGGGCCAGCGUUGCUCGGAAUUACUGGGUGUAAAGGGUUCGUAGGCGGUGUGGCAAGUCGGGAGUGAAAUCUCUGUGCUCAACCCAGAGUCUGCUUCCGAAACUGCUGUGCUUGAGUGUGGGAGAGGCGCGUGGAAUUGCAGGUGUAGCGGUGAAAUGCGUAGAUAGUCUGCAGGAACACCCGUGGCGAAAGCGGCGCGCUGGACCACUACUGACGCUGAGGAACGAAAGCUAGGGGAGCAAACAGG
rnacentral:rRNA from 1 species